GGGGGAAAAAAACUAGACAUUUUGUAAUUCAAUUGUCAUCUAAAAUAUAAAAAAAUUAAACAAAUUAAAUUGUGAAAAUUCAUUUUCGCAAAUAACAUGGGAUCUCUCUUUUUAUUUUAUUUUGAAAUCUGACUAAAAAAAAUAUGAAAACAAUUGCUCUUUUUUAUAUUAAAUUAAUAAAUAUAAAGCAAACUUGUUAUUUUUGUACGUAAAAUAGCUCUAAUGAAGAAUCUUGAUAAUAGUUUUUAAAGUAAGAAAAAUUUUAUAAAAUUAAAAAACUACAAAGAGUAAAGCUAAAAUCUUGAUAAUAGUUUUAAAAACAAGGGAAGACUGCAAAAAUCCAAAAACUAAAACUAGAAUCUUGAUAAUAGUUUUAAUAGUAAGAAAAGUUUGUAAAAUUUUAGAAACUAUUAUAGGAGGUGAUUGUAUUUUUUAUAAACCUCGGGAGGUGAGUGAAAUUUACUUAAACUAUUAUUGUUAGAAAAUAUACAAAACAGGGCGUCGACAGUAGGAUUCGAACGUGCGCAGGCAGAGCCCAACAGAUUUCGAGUCUGUCUCCUUAACCACUCGGACAUAUCGAAAAUUGAUUCUAACUAAACCAAAGUUAAAAAAUUAAUAUCACUUUUAAUGUUGAUUAGUUUAAAAUUAUUUUUUUGAGUGGUAUUCAGAUGGUCUCAUCCACCCCAAAUGGGUGGAUGUAGGCGCGCCAUAUAAGCGAGCCCGUCUAAUACCACUCUAUUUUUUUCCCUGAAUUGAAUGUUAUGAGAAUUUAUUCUUAUUCAUACUCUACGGUACCAUUCUCCUUGUGUUCAAUGAUUAAAAAUGAGGGCUUUGGUGAGACCUAGGCGAUCACAAUUCGAUUAGUUUAGUUUUUAAAAAAGUUAUGAAUCAAAUCAUUUUUAAUAAUUCAAUAAAAAUUUAAAUUAAAUAAACCCUUGAAAUAUUGAAACAAAACCGUAGAAUGCUGUUUAGUUUGGUUCGAUUUCAUAAUUUAAAAGCACAAUACCAAAUGCCAUAAUAUUUAAUAAAGAAAAAAAUCAAAUACAAAAAAAUAAAUACCAUAGAGGAACAUAAACAUGAUUUGUUAGUAAAAUACAAAUAUAGACAAAUAAUCUAUGAAUAUUAAUUAGUAUUAUCUAAUAUAUAUAUAUAUAUAUAAACGUAAAUAUAUUUAUAUAUAAUUAGUAAUAUAUACGUUUGGGUUCAUUUUAAAAUCGCAACUAUGAUAUGAAAAUUAUAAAUUAAACCGUUAUGUUAAAAAAUUGUAACAAUAACCAAAUCAUUCAAAUAAAAAUCUAAACCCAAACGUACGAAUUGAUUCGAUUUGGACGAUUUUCACGGUUUGGUCAUUUUUUUCCCAUUCCCCCUAUUCCUUAAUGAAAGAUCCUAUAUAUUUUUAAUUGAUACUAAAAGAUUUCAACCUUCAACCUUAUAAAAUACACUAUAUAAUUAAAAAGAAAAACUUUGGUUGCUAACUUCUCUACCCGCUGUUUCAAUGAUAUUUUCUAAUAAAUACCUCCAACGUAUUUUUUUGGAAAACUUUUUCCGGGAACAAAUGGCAAAAUUCGACAAUCAUUUUCAGAUAACCACCAAAACUUACCACUCCCAUUCCGUCGACUUCCUAUUAUCCACCACUCCAGUUACCAUUACCAUGGCAACUAUAACUUUACCGUCAUCACGUGGCUAUCACUAUCACAAAAAAUCGUACUAUCUAUCUCCCAAAAAUUAUUGUCAUUAGCAAAUCUAUAAAUAUAAAUCACAACUCAUUUUGAAUUCAAAAAUUAUAUUUCAUUAUCUAUGGUUGAAAUCCAUUUAAUUUAAUCAAACGGCUGCGAUUUUACCUGAAAUUAUUUUUUUUCUUCUAAAAAAUUUUCUCAAAAGUAUGAGACUAACGUAAGUUCUUAUCCAAUGAACAAAAAAUCUCUAAAGUUAUGUAUAUUUUUUACCAUUGAAUUACUUUCAUGGGACCCAACCAAAAAACUAAAAUACCUAUUAUUCUUCCUCAUUUUCUCUCAAACUAAUAUAUUUUUUUUAAAAUUAUUAUAACUUUUAAUUUUUUUUUGUAUCAAUGUAUCUCUUCAUAUAUGCAUGCAAUGUAUCUUUUAUCUGACGUUUAUAUUUUAUUUAUUUUGUAGAUUGUAAACUCUAACGAGUACGUCUAAGAGGUAGUCAAUUUUUUUUUAUGUAGUGUAUGUGUGCAUGGUAGUUACUAGUUAUACUAUAAGGCCCAAUUUGGCUAAAAUUUUUUUAUUUUCUUUUAACUGAUUUGAUUUUUGAUUUUUGAUUUUUGAUUUUUUAGUUAAGUUUGUAAAUCAUUUGAUUAAAAUAUUAUUUUUUUAACUUCUAUGCUCACAGAAUUAUGGUAGGCCCCCACGCAAACCAAUCAAGUUCUGCCACGCAUAGGAUACAUUUUACCAAUUUUCUUCCCAGUCUGGCUGAUGCACCAACUUUCAAACUUUCUCCCCUGAUAAUAGCUCACGAUGAUAUGGAAAAGGUAAAC
rnacentral:lncRNA from 1 species